rnacentral:rRNA from 1 species
GACAGAGGGUGCAAACGUUGUUCGGAAUUACUGGGCGUAAAGCGCGUGUAGGCUGCUCUGCAAGUCGGAUGUGAAAGCCCUGGGCUCAACCUAGGAAGUGCACUCGAAACUGCAGAGCUGGAGUCCUGGAGAGGAAGGCGGAAUUCUCGGAUGUAGAGGUGAAAUUCGUAGAUAUCGAGAGGAACACCGGUGGCGAAGGCGGCCUUCUGGACGAGUGACUGACGCUGAGACGCGAAAGCGUGGGAGCAAACAGG